rnacentral:rRNA from 1 species
UACGUAGGGUGCAAGCGUUAAUCGGAAUUACUGGGCGUAAAGCGUGCGCAGGCGGUUUUGUAAGUCUGUCGUGAAAGCCCCGGGCUCAACCUGGGAAUGGCAUUUGUGACUGGCAGGCUAGAGUGUGUCAGAGGGGGGUAGAAUUCCACGUGUAGCAGUGAAAUGCGUAGAUAUGCGGAGGAACACCGAUGGCGAAGGCAGCCUCCUGGGAUAACACUGACGCUCAUGCACGAAAGCGUGGGGAGCAAACAGG